AAACCGGACAGUGGGUAUCCAGCUUCCGAGCUGCAUCAGACACGGUUAAUGGCUUUUCAUUUCAUCCUUUCCUGCCGAUGGCUGCCUCUUCAUCAGGCCAACGGAGAUUUGGAGUUAUAGAUGACUCCCACGAGGAUAUGCUCCUUACAGGUGAUGAAAAUUGUGUUUCUGUGUGGAGCUUCGCCUAUUCAGCAUCUGUAGAAAAUGAUGUUAGUCCCAUUUCCGGGGUCUCAAAUGGUAAAUCUGAGCUCGAUGAGGACCUUCACGUUCUUCAAGAACCUUGAUCCAUUUAGGGACUUGUGUAUAAACUUAUCGUUGCAUGGGCUAACAUCACCUCCAUUUACCACAACUAAUCCAUGCUUAACAAACUCUAUUUAU
rnacentral:misc_RNA from 1 species